GCUGGUUGAGGGCAACAGACUCCUAAUCUUAAGGCCCACGUACAGCAUAAUCAAAACUAACAGCUAUCAACUUCAACAAACUUAUUCUAACUGAAAAACAAAUAUAAACAUUGCAACUUUUACUGGAUCAGAUUUCCUUGGACUGAGUCUUGGAUUUCCACGUCGUGCAUGUAGUUGUUUCGGCCUUGAACUCAAAUUUUUACGUAGUUGCAUGAAACC
rnacentral:lncRNA from 1 species